AACCUACGGUUCAACCUCAAGCAAAUGGAACAGGUUGGGAAUUGGCACUUGUUACAGCCCCAAGCUCAAAUGAGAGUGCCACAGCUACUAGCAAACUGGUGUGCAGGAGUUUACGGUUGUGAUAUUGGGUUUGUGAUCAACAAGGAGAGGGAGACGAAAUUUUAAAUUACGUUGAAGAGAGCAGGAGAGCUGCAGGUUUGCAACAGGAGGGAGAGUGGGUGCUUAAGGGUGGCCAACAUAAUCUUUAUAGAUGCACCAGUUGGUGCUGGGUUUUCAUACUCUACAACCUCGGAAGGGUACUAUACUUCCGAUACAAAAUCAGCUGCACAGACCUAUACUUUCUUAAGAAAGGGAAGGAGAAAAGAAUCACAAUGGUUAUAUGCACACCCAAGGUUUUAGGGAAAUCAACUGUACAUUGGUGGUGACUCAUAUUCAGGACUUAUUGUUCCCAU